UCGGUACGUACUGGUGUUACUGAUUCCUACCUUCUGACGAACCAUCAUGUCAUUAGUUUGGUGUGGUGGGGAAUCAGGACUGUUACUUUGAAAAAAUUAGAGUGUUUAAAGCAGGCUCGCGCUUGAAUACAUUAGCAUGGAAUAAUGAAAUAGGACGUUGAUCCUAUUUUGUUGGUUUCUAGGAUCGACGUAAUGAUUAAUAGGGAUAGUUGGGGGCAUUAGUAUUCAAUUGUCAGAGGUGAAAUUCUUGGAUUUAUUGAAGACUAACUACUGCGAAAGCAUUUGCCAAGGAUGUUUUCAUUAAUCAAGAACGAAAGUUAGGGGAUCGAAGACGAUCAGAUACCGUCGUAGUCUUAACCAUAAACUAUGCCGACUAGGGAUCGGAUGAUGUUAAUUUUUUAAUGACUCAUUCGGCGCCUUACG
rnacentral:rRNA from 1 species